rnacentral:rRNA from 1 species
CGUUCCCGGACCUUGUACACACCGCCCGUCAAGCCAUGGAAGUUAGGAGGACCUGAAGACAGUUGCUGUAAGGCGCUGUUUAGGGUUAAACUGAUGACUGGGGCUAAGUCGUAACAAGGUACCC